rnacentral:rRNA from 1 species
GACGAACGCUGGCGGCGUGCUUAACACAUGCAAGUCGAACGGUAAGGCCCUUCGGGGUACACGAGUGGCGAACGGGUGAGUAACACGUGGGUGAUCUGCCCUGCACUUCGGGAUAAGCCUGGGAAACUGGGUCUAAUACCGGAUAGGACUCCGGACUGCAUGGUCUGGGGUGGAAAGCUUUUGCGGUGUGGGAUGGGCCCGCGGCCUAUCAGCUUGUUGGUGGGGUGAUGGCCUACCAGGGCGACGACGGGUAGCCGGCCUGAGAGGGUGACCGGCCACACUGGGACUGAGAUACGGCCCAGACUCCUACGGGAGGCAGCAGUGGGGAAUAUUGCACAAUGGGCGCAAGCCUGAUGCAGCGACGCCGCGUGAGGGAUGACGGCCUUCGGGUUGUAAACCUCUUUUAGUAGGGAAGAAGCGAAAGUGACGGUACCUGCAGAAAAAGCACCGGCUAACUACGUGCCAGCCGCCGCCGUAA